rnacentral:rRNA from 1 species
UACGAAGGGGGCUAGCGUUGUUCGGAAUCACUGGGCGUAAAGCGCACGUAGGCGGAUUGUUAAGUCGGGGGUGAAAUCCUGAGGCUCAACCUCAGAACUGCCUCCGAUACUGGCAAUCUCGAGUUCGGAAGAGGUUGGUGGAACAGCUAGUGUAGAGGUGAAAUUCGUAGAUAUUAGCUAGAACACCAGUGGCGAAGGCGGCCAACUGGUCCGACACUGACGCUGAGGUGCGAAAAGCGUGGGGGAGCAAACAGG